rnacentral:tRNA from 1 species
GUCCAUGUGGCGCAAUUGGCAGACGAACUGUCUUCAGAUGGCAGAGGUUGGUGGUUCGAAUCCACUCAUGGGCA